GCGCGGCCAUAUUUUACUGGCAUGCACACAACCUGCCAGAUUUUUCAUUCAGGUACGAACCUUGUGAGGCGUCCGGAUGAGAUAACCUGCUGAUGUCUUAAACCUUUUGUUCUUUUGAGAAAUAGGCCAUUAUCUGAUUACAGGUGCACACCGAAUUGCCCCUUUCAGGGGUCAUGUGACUCCGAAUUCACCUCCAUCAGAGUUUAUCUAACAAUGUUCGGACGGAAGACUUGUUUCAAAACAAAAUCACACUGUUGAUAGCGUGGAGAUAAGACGUGGGGAUAAUUAACCGUAUAUUUUAGACUAAAUCCACCCAUCUAUUGGCUGCUGGUGGUGGGAGGAGGCUGUGGCUCAUAAACUACGAAGCAUGUGGUGUGACAAUGCCGGGGUGCCCGGGGAUAUAAAAGGUCCUGACAGCUGCUCUCCCCUCAGGAUAACAUCACGCCUAUCAACAAUGCGGAUGCUGCUAUUUCUCAGUGCGCUGUUGGGGGUGUUCGGGUUGGAGAAAGCGUCCCCCGUGGACACCCAGCAGCUUCAGGCCCUUCACUGCCCGCCCUGCGAGCGGAUACACUGCUCCUCCCGGCGGGCGCUGAAGCUCCAGUGUAAAGGGGGCGUGACGACGGGUGUCUGUGGCUGCUGCCCGUGUGCGCCAAGACGGAGGGGGAGACCUGCGGGGGCACGUGGGACUACCUGGGGAAGUGCGACGAGGGGCUGGUGUGCGUUUUUCAGGACUCAGCAGCUGUCAAACCAGACGCAGAGCGCAAAGGGAUCUGCAAAGCAGUGAUUGAACAGCUGGAUGCAGAGAGCUGCCAACCAGAGUGCACCAAGGAGUACUGCCAGGCCAACCCCUCUGCAAUCUGCUCUGCCAGGUCUACGUCUCUGCAGAAUAAAGAGUGCCAGGGCUCCUGCCAGCACACGUCCUGCUCCAGCUGUCUGCUGCUGAAGCGACCAUCGUGCUCUCAGACCUGCGCCCCGUCCGAUUCCACCUGUCUGCAACACUUUGGGAAGUGUGUGCACAAUCACCUGACUGCACCUCACAGUCCCAUAUGUCACACCAACCUCCAGAGUAACUGCGAGGGGCAUUUCGUGUGCUUGAUCCCGGACUGUCCGAGCUCAUCCAGCUAAGAGGAAACCAAGAGGAACACUUGUAGCAAAAUGUGAAGAAAGGCAGCUAUGUUUAAACCCUGUGAAUAUCUUAAAACUACUUAAUCAACAAUUACUUUUUCCCCCUGCAAUUUAAAUCAAGAUAAAAACUUUCUACUUUUUAAAAUUCUGUACUGACUUUGCUCUGUCUAUUUAUUUAUGGGGAUUACCAGGCUGGAUCUGCACUAUUCUAGCUGUUAAUUAAUGCUGUCAAGUGAUGUGCAUUGCUUUAUAUCACAUUAGACAGUUGGCAUUAUCACAGCUUUUUUUUUUUUUUUUAACAUGUUUUCUUGUAUCUUAUAUGAACUUGUGUGUGACAAUAAAUGUUUAAUUCAUGUACCACAACAUGAAAACCUACCUGCUAAGUAAACAUAUGUCAGAUUCUCUCUGUCA